UUUGCUUGGUUUUUCACACAGCUUUACACUGUCAUGUAUUGCCACAAAGGAGCAACCAUUAGGAACAGUUCCAAGUUCCAACUUUCACUUUCGGCAGCACCAAUUUCUGUUCGUUCCCGGACAGGCAACAGCUGUUACCAACACGUUUUUUUUUAUCUCAGGGAUCCAAAGAUGUCUUCCUACCACUUGUUAAUCACAUUAUAAUAUUAAUCCUUUCAGCUCCCCCAAGACAAAAAAGAACUGGUAUUACUAUUUAUAUCACGUGCCUCAUCACAUGAUCCCUCUGUAGAUAUGUAUCAACUAUUUCCACCAAAUCUAGAGGUCAGAGUUGCAACAUGUAGCAGUCAACAUUGAGCACAUGAUCCCACUGACAUCACUUCCCCUACUACACAAGAUAUUACUGAGAUUUAAGGAAGUGGGCUAUAAAUCAAAGACUCCCAUACCAUCUUAAUCACAGAUUUGAAGAAACCAUCUUCAGUUCACUCCCAUAGAAAACAAGCAAGAUACCAUAAACCAUGAAGUCCUGGUCUAGAGCACUGGCUGCUCUCACUUUUGCACUUUCACUGCUAUCGUUAUUGUGGCCUGGUGGAGCUAAAGGAGCCAACCGCCAGCUAACAAAAGGAUCUUCCUUCUCGGGAUCAUCCUCUCAGGCUCUCAAAGAUUUGCAAGGGGACAGGACGAAUCCUUAUAAGCAGGUGGACUCAUGCUUUCGGAAGAUACCUCCAUCAACUUCGAAUCCCAUACAGAACAAGUAAUUCCUGCCACCAAUGGUCCAAUCCUCCAUCUACCGGCUGAGAAAGUACAGAACAAGGAUUAGUGGAAUCUAGACAGAAUCAACUUUUAUUUUUCUUUCAUUCGCAUAUUUGUUAGACAUAGGGUGGCAAUGUAUUACUUUUCUAAGACUCCAAGAAAGGUUAUAUGUUUUUGUUAGAGGUUAUGCAUUCACAGUUGUUUUUGCCAACACGGGCUGUGGAUUAAUGUUCUUAACUGAGAAUGUUCAGUAUCUGGAUGUAGGAUUAGAAUAACUCCUGUGUUUAACUUGGAGUUCAAAAGCAAAUAGCUCAACGAAAGUAAAUUCAAUUGAGAGUACAAGUACAACAACUAGAACUAAAUGACCAAAGUAAUUUCCUCUCUUACUCAACUUUCUAAUUCGGUUAUCAGUCUAUGCAGCUAA